AACGCUAGCGGCAGGCUUAACACAUGCAAAGUCGAGGGGUAUAGUUCUUCGGAACUAGAGACCGGCGCACGGGUGCGUAACGCGUAUGCAAUCUACCUUAUACAGGGGAAUAGCCCAGAGAAAUUUGGAUUAAUGCCCCAUAGUGUUAUCGAAUCGCAUGGUUUGAUAACUAAAGUUCCAACGGUAUAAGAUGAGCAUGCGUCCCAUUAGUUAGUUGGUAAGGUAACGGCUUACCAAGACAAUGAUGGGUAGGGGUCCUGAGAGGGAGAUCCCCCACACUGGUACUGAGACACGGACCAGACUCCUACGGGAGGCAGCAGUGAGGAAUAUUGGGUCAAUGGGCGCAAGCCUGAACCAGCCAUGCCGCGUGCAGGAAGACGGUCCUAUGGAUUGUAAACUGCUUUUAUACAGGAAGAAACCCUCCCACGUGUGGGAGCUUGACGGUACUGUAGGAAUAAGGAUCGGCUAACUCCGUG
rnacentral:rRNA from 1 species